UAAAUUGAGAGUUUGAUCCUGGCUCAGGACGAACGCUGGCGGCGUGCCUAACACAUGCAAGUCGAGCGAUGAAGCCCUUCGGGGCGGAUUAGCGGCGGACGGGGUGAG
rnacentral:ncRNA from 1 species